rnacentral:misc_RNA from 1 species
AUGUUAAGGAACGCGCACGCACACGGAAAGGCGGGGCAAGGGGGAAGAGGGGGGACAUUUAUCAUUAUCAUCAUUUGACGUAAGGUACAAAAAUGACAAAAACGAGUUCUUUAACUUUGUAAACCACUAACCAAGUAUUAAGCAAGUUCUAUACUUAUCGCCAUAGGUCUUUUACAACAGCUUACACAACUGUUCAUAUCAACUAAGAAAUACAAAACGAUCUCAAUGCAAUGAUCAAGAAUACAAAACUAUUUCCAUGCAACAACCUCCAGAACAAAUAAUUUCUCCCUCUUCUCAUCAAAACUACUACAGUAUCUAAUGGACCUCCAAGGCAACAGAAUCAGGAUACCAAUACCCCAUUAUCCACCAAAUAUUAACAUGAUUUGAUCAAGAAACACCAUUUUACAUUGCAAUUAAAAGACAGGGACAAGAUAAAAGAAUUUUUGCAAGUCAACGGAUCUAAGGGAAAGGUGGGAAAUCUUCUUAUCAGAGAAGACCAACAAGCACAAUCCUAAGAUGAUAACCAAGGAACUCACUUGCACUAAAAAGGUGUUUAUUUAAAAGAAGCAAUAACUGUAACUUUCCAGGUCAACACUAGCACAGACCGACUCAUCAUAACCAUCGCAAACACCACAACAAGAACUUUCAACCAAAAUGGGACACCACCUAUCAAUCUUUAGAACUACAUGAAGUUCAAAAACUGGUGCUUUUGGAUUACUUUUUUUGAAGCUCAGAAGAGUUCUGCUGUGUGAAAUAUUUAAUUAAAAAUAAGAAACAUGAAAUCCUGAGUGGAAGUGCCGCACAGAAAUUUCUGCUUCACCUACAGAUUUUCAAUGUGAAAGAACUAGAAUAAGAUCGGUUGAUUGUGAAGUGUAGAAAAGGAAAAGUGCACAGGAAGGGUGGAUCAUUUGGACAAAACUGCAUAACGUAUCAAUGUUUGAUAAAAUUGUGCAAAACCUGAUAAGAAAUGAACAUGAUCAUUGGACCUCAUAGUUUAUUGAUUCAAAGCUAAAUUGCUUGGGAUCACAUUGAAAUCCCAGGUAGGCACAGGCAAGUAAUCCACUUGCAUAUAAGGAGAGUUGCAGUUACAGCAAGAACUUUUUUUCCUAUUCAAUUUGGGUCUCACAGACCACAGAAAAAGCAAGAACCAGGUGUCAUUGUGGUAUUGACACUAAAUAGCAGCUGCCAAUGAAAUAUAGGAAAAUGAAAGCAACUGCGGCUGAAAAAAAAAAAAAAAAAAA